rnacentral:rRNA from 1 species
GUCUGUCUGGAACAGGUCUGACGGUGAGGGACGAAAGCUAGGGUAGCGAACUGAUAAGAGGAUAAUAUCUUCUAUCAGGUUAAUUCGGGAUUAGAUACAUCUUGUGUCUAACCAAAACACCGGGUGCUAAAUACCCCGGUAGUCCUAUGCUGUAAACGAUGCCCAUUUGGUGUUGCAGAUCUUUCGUGGGUUUGCAGUGCCGGAGCGUAAGUGUUAAAUGGGCCACCUGGGAAGUAUACUCGCAAGGGUGAAACUUAAGGGAAUUGGCGGGGGAGCACACAAGGGGUGGAUGUUGCGGUUCAAUUGGAUUCGACGCCGAACAUCUUACCAGGGCCGACAGCAGGUUGAAGGUCAGUCUGAAGGGCUUACCUGACAAGCUGAGAGAUGGUGCAUGGCCAUCGUCAGCUCGUACCGUGAGGCGUGCCGUUAAGUCGGUUAACGAGCGAGACCCACAUCACAUGUUACGACUCUUUUCUUCGGAAAGGAAGUACUCAUAUGAGACCGCUGGUGAUAAACCAGAGGAAGGAGUGGGCAACGAUAGGUCCGUAUGCCUCGAAUGUCCUGGGCUACACGCGACAUACAAUGCGUGCUACAAUGAGACGCAACUCCGAGAGGAGAAGCAAAUCCCCUAAAAGCACGCUCAGUUCGGAUUGAGGGCUGCAACUCGCCCUCAUGAAGCUGGAAUCCCUAGUAAGCGAACGUCACUAAUCGUUCGCUGAAUACGUCCCUGCUCC